GGGACGGCGUGCAGCGGAACCACAAGAUGGACUUCCAAGGUUUGCUCCGCCAGCUGGACAUCAAUAACGAGGACGACGUCGAGUCUUUGUCUCCCGUGAUAGCUCACGUGUUUAGUGACGGAGUAACAACCUGGGGCAGGAUUGUGGCUCUUAUUUCUUUUGGUGCCUUUGUGGCCAAACACUUGAAGAGUAUAAACCAAGAAAGCUGCAUUGACCCGUUAGCAGAAAGCAUCACAGAUGUUCUCGUAAGGACGAAGCGAGACUGGCUAGUGA